ACACACACACACACACACACACACACACACACACAAGGACUUCACGCAGCAUUGUGAAAAUUACAGUGUUGCACAUUAUCCAAGGGCUUAGGGACGAUAAAAUAUCGGACAGGAGGACAAAAUCCUAGUGCACAUCUGCAUCAGCGUACUACGUGGACGCUGGAAACGACCACCGACAGAGAACUGAUUUAAAUAAUCAUAUGGAAGCUGAAUGCUGUUCAUUUAGUGCAACAUCCACAACAGACUGCAGAAAUGUACAUUCCACCAAGGAGGUGAAGUGGGUGUCUUUAUAUUCCAAAACUGCCCCAGCGUAAAGAAUGCAUCAUGAUGAAGUGUUAUGUAUCCUAAGAGGCACUGCAAGCCAGCUGUGAGAUUUCGUUGCCAAGGCAACUCAGUGACCCACUCUACAGUGCUUGGCUCACCCUUGCUGAGCAGGCACAUUGGUCAAGACCCACUAAAAGCGACCGAACAUCGGUGAGAGGGAAAGAAAGAGUAAGCUAAGUUUAGAAGGUUGCCUGAAUCAAGAAGAGCAGCUGUAGAAACCCGCAGCUGGACUUCACUACCAUUCUGAUGCACUGCACCCUCUCGGACUGACGGGUUUUCUCUGGCAGAGAAAGGGCUCACACAGGUGGACCAGCAGCAUCCCAGAGAUUAUAGAUUUAGAGAUUACAGGACGACACCAGGUCAGGGUACAUUGCCUUUUUGAAAUCCGAGUCCUCCACCUCACCAAUUCCAAUAAGAGCUGUUUUUGUGAAACUGGCAAGCGA